AACGCACCUUGCGCCCUUUGGCCAUUCCGAAGGGCAUGCCUGUUUGAGUAUCAUGAACACCUCAACUCUUCAUGGUUUUCCGUGAUGAGCUUGGACUUUGGGGGUUUUGCUGGCCUACGGUCGGCUCCUCUAAAAUGAAUCAGCUUGCCAGUGUUUGGUGGGCAUCACAGGUGUGAUAACUAUCUACGCUUGUGGUUUUCCCACCAGGUAACCUUCAGCAGUGGAGGUUCACUGGAGCUCACAGAUGUCUCUCCUCAGUGAGGACAGCCCUUUGAAUGUUUGAUCUCAAAUCAGGUAGGACUACCCGCUGAACUUAA
rnacentral:misc_RNA from 1 species